rnacentral:rRNA from 1 species
ACGCUGGCGGCAGGCCUAACACAUGCAAGUCGAGCGGAUGAAGGGAGCUUGCUCCUGGAUCCAGCGGCGGACGGGUGAGUAAUGCCUAGGAAUCUGCCUGGUAGUGGGGGAUAACGUCCGGAAACGGGCGCUAAUACCGCAUACGUCCUGAGGGAGAAAGUGGGGGAUCUUCGGACCUCACGCUAUCAGAUGAGCCUAGGUCGGAUUAGCUAGUUGGUGGGGUAAAGGCCUACCAAGGCGACGAUCCGUAACUGGUCUGAGAGGAUGAUCAGUCACACUGGAACUGAGACACGGUCCAGACUCCUACGGGAGGCAGCAGUGGGGAAUAUUGGACAAUGGGCGAAAGCCUGAUCCAGCCAUGCCGCGUGUGUGAAGAAGGUCUUCGGAUUGUAAAGCACUUUAAGUUGGGAGGAAGGGCAGUAAGUUAAUACCUUGCUGUUUUGACGUUACCAACAGAAUAAGCACCGGCUAACUUCGUG